rnacentral:rRNA from 1 species
GAUGAACGCUGGCGGCGUGCCUAAUACAUGCAAGUCGAGCGAACGGACGUUAAGCUUUCUUCUCUGAUGUUAGCGGCGGACGUGUUAGUAACACGUUUAUAACCUACCUAUAAUUCUUGUAUAACUUCGGGAAUCCGUAUCUAAUACCGGAUAAUAUUUUGAACCGCAUUGUUCAAUAGUUAAAUACGGUCUUUCUUUCACUUAUAGAUGUAUCCGCGCUGCAUUAGCUUGUUGGUAUGGUAACUGCUUACCAAGGCAACGAUGCAUAGCCGAACUGAGAGGGUGAUCGGCAAAACUGGAACGGAGACACGGACAAGACUACGACGGGAGGCAGCAGUAGGGAAUAUUCCGAAAUGGGCGAAAGCAUGACGGAGAAACGCCGAGUGAGUGAUGAAGGUCUUCGGAUCGUAAAAAUCUGUUAUUAGGGAAGAACAAAUGUGUAAGUAAAUGUGCACAUAUUGACGGUAACUAAUAAGAAAGCCACGGCUAACUACGUG